UACAGAGGGGGCAAGCGUUGUUCGGAAUUACUGGGCGUAAAGGGCGCGUAGGCGGCCUUCUAAGUCGAACGUGAAAUCCCCGGGCUCAACCCGGGAACUGCGUCCGAUACUGGAAGGCUUGAAUCCGGGAGAGGGAUGCGGAAUUCCAGGUGUAGCGGUGAAAUGCGUAGAUAUCUGGAGGAACACCGGUGGCGAAGGCGGGUCUCUGGGCGAGUAACUGACGCUGAGGCGCGAAAGCGUGGGGAGCGAACAGG
rnacentral:rRNA from 1 species